UACGAAGGGUGCUAGCGUUGUUCGGAUUUACUGGGCGUAAAGCGCAUGUAGGCGGGUCGUUAAGUCGGGGGUGAAAGCCCAGAGCUCAACUCUGGAACUGCCUUCGAUACUGGCGACCUGGAGCAGGUCAGAGGCGAGUGGAAUUGCGAGUGUAGAGGUGAAAUUCGUAGAUAUUCGCAGGAACACCAGUGGCGAAGGCGACUCGCUGGGACGUUGCUGACGCUGAGAUGCGAAAGCGUGGGGAGCAAACAGG
rnacentral:rRNA from 1 species